UACGAAGGGGGCUAGCGUUGCUCGGAAUUACUGGGCGUAAAGCGCACGUAGGCGGCUUUCUAAGUCGGGGGUGAAAUCCUGGAGCUCAACUCCAGAACUGCCUUCGAUACUGAGAGUCUCGAGUCCGAGAGAGGUGAGUGGAACUGCGAGUGUAGAGGUGAAAUUCGUAGAUAUUCGCAAGAACACCAGUGGCGAAGGCGGCUCACUGGCUCGGUACUGACGCUGAGGUGCGAAAGCGUGGGGAGCAAACAGG
rnacentral:rRNA from 1 species